rnacentral:rRNA from 1 species
AUUGAACGCUGGCGGCAUGCCUUUCACAUGCAAGUCGAACGGCAGCACGGGGCAACCUGGUGGCGAGUGGCGAACGGGUGAGUAAUGCAUCGGAACGUACCUUUCAGUGGGGGAUAACGUAGCGAAAGUUACGCUAAUACCGCAUAUUCUGUGAGCAGGAAAGCAGGGGAUCGCAAGACCUUGCGCUGAUUGAGCGGCCGAUGUCAGAUUAGCUAGUUGGUGAGGUAAAGGCUCACCAAGGCGACGAUCUGUAGCGGGUCUGAGAGGAUGAUCCGCCACACUGGAACUGAGACACGGUCCAGACUCCUACGGGAGGCAGCAGUGGGGAAUUUUGGACAAUGGGGCGACCCUGAUCCAGCCAUGCCGCGUGAGUGAAGAAGGCCUUCGGGUUGUAAAGCUCUUUCGGCCGGGAAGAAAUCGCACGGGCUAAUACCCUGUGUGGAUGACGGUACCGGAAUAAGAAGCACCGGCUAACUACGUGCCAGCCGCCGCGGUAAAAC